rnacentral:rRNA from 1 species
UACAGAGGGUGCGAGCGUUAAUCGGAUUUAUUGGGUUUAAAGGGUGCGUAGGCGGCUUUUUAAGUCAGCGGUGAAAUUUUGCAGCUUAACUGUAACAGUGCCGUUGAUACUGGGGAGCUAGGAUUUGGUUGCUGUGGGUGGAAUGUGUGGUGUAGCGGUGAAAUGCUUAGAGAUCACACAGAAUAUCGAUUGCGAAGGCAGCUCACAAAGCCAAGAUUGACGCUGAGGCACGAAAGUGUGGGGAUCAAACAGG